AUCACUUUAUUUAUUUUUGUACAUAUUUUCACUCAAUCAAAUACAACACAUGGUAGAAAAUCAAAUCACACAAGGAGUGAUAGACAUAAAUAAUAUCAAUCAUACUGCACAUCACUUUCCUUUGUAACGAUGAGAGCACUUCUGACUUUGAUCUUCCGAUCGGAGGAAACCCAAGUGAAGUCACCGUAUUCCUCCAAAAAGGAAGAAUAUUCUUUCGAGUCAGAAUCCCAACGAACAUCAACAGUGAAUUUUAAACGUUGUCCCACAGAUUUGAAUUUUAGAGUCUUAGGACGAACUGUUACAGAGAAACCAUGCGGC
rnacentral:lncRNA from 1 species